GAGGUGGAGUCACAGGGACUACAGGUCAAUGGAGGUGGGGUCACAGGGACUACAGGUCAGUGGAGGUGGAGCACAGGGACUACAGGUCAGUGGAGGUGGAGUACAGGGACUAGAGUUCAGUGGAGGUGGAGCACAGGGACUACAGGUCAAUGGAGGUGGGGCACAGGGACUACAGGUCAAUGGAGGUGGGAGCACAGGGACUACAGGUCAAUGGAGGUGGAGUCACAGGGACUACAGGUCAAUGGAGGUGGGAGCACAGGGACUACAGGUCAAUGGAGGUGAGGCACAGGGACUACAGGUCAAUGGAGGUGGGGGCACAGGGACUACAGGUCAAUGGAGGUGGGGCACAGGGACUACAGGUCAGUGGAAGUGGAGUCACAGGGACUACAGGUCAGUGGAGGUGGGGUCACAGGGAC
rnacentral:lncRNA from 1 species